AUUCUCUCUAGUCUAUAACAGAAUAACAUAUAUGUUGUCCAAGUCGAAACCUCUCUUAUGUACCAAUCUUCCAUCAUCUCUUCGCCUGUAUACUAGAUAACCAGCAUCAUCUAUCACAGUAUUAUCUACGUAAGGCUUUGGAAAGAAUUUUGUGCACUUACCAUCCUUUAUGCAAGGACUAUCAUUGUAUUGACGUCCACAAGUCCCAUGAAUCAUAACAUCAG
rnacentral:lncRNA from 1 species